rnacentral:rRNA from 1 species
ANUGGGGGAACCCUGAUGCAGCGACGCCGCGCUGGAGGAAGAAGGUCUUCCCGAUUGUAAACUCCUGUUGUUGAGGAAGAUAAUGACGGUACUCAACAAGGAAGUGACGGCUAACUACNUGCCAGCAGCCGCGGUAAAACGUAGGUCACAAGCGUUGUUCGGAAUUACUGGGUGUAAAGGGAGCGCAGGCGGGAAAACAAGUUGGAAGUGAAAUCCAUGGGCUNAACCCAUGAACUGCUUUCAAAACUGUUUUUCUUGAGUAGUGCAGAGGUAGGCGGAAUUCCCGGUGUAGCGGUGGAAUGCGUAGAUAUCGGGAGGAACACCAGUGGCGAAGGCGGCCUACUGGGCACCAACUGACGCUGAGGCUCGAAAGUGUGGGUAGCAAACAGGAUUAGAUACCCUGGUAGUCCAAGGGCGAAUUC